ACUGAGUGUUGGACUUUCGCUCUUUUAGGGGCCGGUGACCUUUGAGGAGGUGGCUGUGUAUUUCACCAGGGAAGAGUGGGCUCUGCUGGACCCCACUCAGAGAGCUCUCUACAGGGAUGUCAUACAGCAGAACUAUGAGAAUGUGACCUCGCUGGCAGGGUUUCCAGUUUCCAAACCUCAUAGAAUCUCCCAGCUGGAACAAGGAGAAGAGUCAUGGGUCCUAGACCUCCAGGGUUCAGAGGAAAGAUGGAUCCUGAAAGCUCCCUGCACAGCAGGUGAUGCAAUGGUAGGUGAGAAAGAGGAGCAGAAUUCUCAGCAGGAAAAUGUCGAGCAAGUGGAUAAACACAGAGAAUUAUUGCAAAGAUCAAAAAGAAAUGUGUCAAAGAGUCAUGAGCAGAGAAAAUCAUGCAAGACUCAGCACAGACCAGAAAGAGAGCAGGGAAAGCAGCCAGGAGAGAAAAUGGGUAAAUUUAUUUUCUGUCGGGGAACUCAGAAGAGCGUC